AAGUCGUAACAAGGUUUCCGUAGGCUCGAAGAUUAGCCUGGCCCAACGCAAGCGGGGCCAAAGGGUCCCGUCGCUAGUCUCCCGCUGGAGGCGACACGCUCAACCUGUGGGGAAGGCCCCGUCCCCGGGAAAUCCCACAGCCCCACUUCCCCUUUGCCCGGGAAGUCGGUUUUAGAGGCUCAAUACGUGGGUGCUGAUCUCAGCGCUUGAGAUAGAGUCCGUCCCCAGCUGGUAACCGCUGGGGGCGAACGGAACCUGCGGAAGGAUCAUUACAGAAUUGACGGCUUUGCGAAGCCAGAUUCUCACCCCCGUGUAUACACUAUCUCUGUUGCUUUGGCAGGCGCCUGGCGCCUGCCAGAGGGAAACCCUUGAAUCUCUGCAGUCUGAGCACGAUAAAUAGUCAAA
rnacentral:misc_RNA from 1 species